GCAUAUUUCCUGAAGCGGAAAUGGGACGUUGUAGGGGAGACCGGGGCUAUGUGGGACACGGGGCUAAAAUGUACAGGGCAGUUUUGAUAUGUACAAUUU